rnacentral:misc_RNA from 1 species
GAUGAAGAACGUAGCGAAAUGCGAUAAGUAGUGUGAAUUGCAGAAUUCAGUGAAUCAUCGAAUCUUUGAACGCACAUUGCGCCCUUGGUAUUCCUUAGGGCAUGCCUGUUCGAGCGUCAUCUAAACCUUCAAGCACUGCUUGGUGUUGGGUGCCUGUCCCGCCCCCGCGCGUGGACUCACCUCAAAUCCAUUGGCGGCCCUCACGUCGGCUACGAGCGCAGCAGAAACGCGAACUUGUGGACCCGGCGGAGUGGCCCCCAGAAGCUACAUUCACCAUUUUGACCUCGGAUCAGGUAGGGAUACCCGCUGAACUUAAGCAUAUCAAUAAGCGGAGGA